rnacentral:rRNA from 1 species
CACUUCUAAGGAAGGCAGCAGGCGCGCAAAUUACCCAAUCCUGACUCAGGGAGGUAGUGACAAGAAAUAACAAUAAACCGGCUUAUGCCGGUUUAAUAGGAAUGAGUACAAUUUAAACAUCUUAACGAGGAACAAUUGGAGGGCAAGUCUGGUGCCAGCAGCCGCGGUAAUUCCAGCUCCAAUAGCGUAUACUAAAGUUGUUGCAGUUAAAAAGCUCGUAGUUGGAUUUCUGUGGGGACGGAGCGGCCGGCCGCACAUCGCGGUUCGAGCUAGCGCUUUCCCUACAUCCUGCCGCGAACCGUGCUACCAUUAAUUUGGUGGCGCCGGGGAUCGGCUCGAUUACUUUGAGAAAAAUAGAGUGUUCAAAGCAGGCCACAUGCCUUGAAUAAGUUAGCAUGGAAUAAUAACUAAGGACUUCGGUUCUAUUUUGUUGGUGUUCGGGACUGAAGUAAUGAUUGAUAGGGACAGUUGGGGCGGUCUGUAUUCCAAAGCGAGAGGUGAAAUUCUUAGACCUUCGGAAGACAAACAGCUGCGAAAGCGUUCCGCAAGGAUGUUCCCUUUGAUCAAGAACGAAAGUUGGGGGAUCGAAGACGAUCAGAUACCGUCGUAGUCUCAACUAUAAACUAUACCAGCUAGGGAUCGGCCAACGUUAUUUUAUACCGACUUGGUCGGCACCUUAUGAGAAAUCAAAGCAUCUGGGUUCCGGGGGGAGUAUGGUCGCAAGGCUGAAACCUAAAGGAAUUGACGGAAGGGCACCACCAGCCGUGGAGCCUGUGGCUUAAUUUGACUCAACACGGGAAAACUUACCAGGUCCAGACAUAGUAAGGAUUGACAGAUUGAUAGCUCUUUCUUGAUUCUGUGGGUGGUGGUGCAUGGCCGUUCUUAGUUGGUGGAGUGAUUUGUCUGGUUAAUUCCGUUAACGAACGAGACCCCAGCCUGCUAAAUAGCGCGUGUGAGCUUUGCUCGCAGCGAGCUUCUUAGAGGGACUAUGAUGCGCGAUAGCACAUGGAAGUUUGGGGCAAUAACAGGUCUGUGAUGCCCUUAGAUGUUCUGGGCCGCACACGGGCUACACUGGCGCCUGCAACGAGCAUAUCAGCUGGCCCGAGAGGGUCUUGGCUAAUCUUUUGAACCGGCGCCGUGCUUGGGAUUGACCUUUGCAAUUGUUGGUCAUGCAACGAGGAAUGCCUUGUAAACGCGAGUCAUCAGCUCGCAUUGAAUACGUCCCUGCCCUUUGUACACACCGCCCGUCGCUCCUACCGAUGAAUGUUCCGAUGAAAUUUUCGGAGAGCACCUGUGAACUUGGCUCUGCCUUGCGAACGGGAGGCUCAAAGUCACUUAAAUCUGAACAUUUCGAGG